AUUGAACGCUGGCGGCAUGCUUUACACAUGCAAGUCGAACGGUAACAGGGAGCUUGCUCCGCUGACGAGUGGCGAACGGGUGAGUAAUAUAUCGGAACGUACCCAAGAGUGGGGGAUAACGUAGCGAAAGUUACGCUAAUACCGCAUACGAUCCAAGGAUGAAAGCAGGGGAUCUUCGGACCUUGUGCUCCUGGAGCGGCCGAUAUCUGAUUAGCUAGUUGGUGAGGUAAAGGCUCACCAAGGCGACGAUCAGUAGCUGGUCUGAGAGGACGACCAGCCACACUGGAACUGAGACACGGUCCAGACUCCUACGGGAGGCAGCAGUGGGGAAUUUUGGACAAUGGGCGCAAGCCUGAUCCAGCAAUGCCGCGUGAGUGAAGAAGGCCUUCGGGUUGUAAAGCUCUUUUGUCAGGG
rnacentral:rRNA from 1 species